UACGGGGGAGGCAAGCGUUGUUCGGAUUUACUGGGCGUAAAGGGCGCGUAGGCGGCCAGCACAAGUCAGUUGUGAAAUCUCCGAGCUUAACUCGGAAAGGUCAACUGAUACUGCAGGGCUAGAGUGCAGAAGGGGCAACUGGAAUUCUCGGUGUAGCGGUGAAAUGCGUAGAUAUCGAGAGGAACACCUGCGGCGAAGGCGGGUUGCUGGGCUGACACUGACGCUGAAGCGCGAAAGCCAGGGGAGCGAACGGG
rnacentral:rRNA from 1 species